AGCCUCAUUCUAGAUGAGAAUGGGUACUGCUGAUCAUGGUGUCCAAAAAACUUUAUGUGGCUAAAUUGAGACACAGGCUAUGCUUCCAUCACAGUACACAUAUUGCAGUGGUGACAAUGAAACCUGUAACAUUU
rnacentral:snoRNA from 10 species